GCAUAUCAAUAAGCGGAGGAAAAGAAACCAACAGGGAUUGCCCUAGUAACGGCGAGUGAAGCGGCAACAGCUCAAAUUUGAAAUCUGGCUCUUUCAGAGUCCGAGUUGUAAUUUGCAGAGGGCGCUUUGGCUUUGGCAGCGGUCCAAGUUCCUUGGAACAGGACGUCACAGAGGGUGAGAAUCCCGUACGUGGUCGCUAGCUAUUGCCGUGUAAAGCCCCUUCGACGAGUCGAGUUGUUUGGGAAUGCAGCUCUAAAUGGGAGGUAAAUUUCUUCUAAAGCUAAAUAUUGGCCAGAGACCGAUAGCGCACAAGUAGAGUGAUCGAAAGAUGAAAAGCACUUUGGAAAGAGAGUCAAACAGCACGUGAAAUUGUUGAAAGGGAAGCGCUUGCAGCCAGACUUGCUUGCAGUUGCUCAUCCGGGCUUUUGCCCGGUGCACUCUUCUGUAGGCAGGCCAGCAUCAGUUUGGGCGGUGGGAUAAAGGUCUCUGUCACGUACCUCUCUUCGGGGAGGCCUUAUAGGGGAGACGACAUACCACCAGCCUAGACUGAGGUCCGCGCAUCUGCUAGGAUGCUGGCGUAAUGGCUGUAAGCGGCCCGUCUUGAAACACGGACCAAGGAGUCUAACAUCUAUGCGAGUGUUUGGGUGUCAAGCCCGAGCGCGUAAUGAAAGUGAACGGAGGUGGGAACCCGCAAGGGUGCACCAUCGACCGAUCCUGAAGUUUACGGAAGGAUUUGAGUAAGAGCAUGGCUGUUGGGACCCGAAAGAUGGUGAACUAUGCUUGAAUAGGGUGAAGCCAGAGGAAACUCUGGUGGAGGCUCGCAGCGGUUCUGACGUGCAAAUCGAUCGUCAAAUUUGGGCAUAGGGGCGAAAGACUAAUCGAACUAUCUAGUAGCUGGUCCUGCG
rnacentral:rRNA from 1 species